rnacentral:rRNA from 1 species
GAUGAACGCUGGCGGCGUGCCUAAUACAUGCAAGUCGAGCGAACAGACGAUGAGCUUGCUCCUCUGACGUUAGCGGCGGACGGGUGAGUAACACGUGUAUAACCUACCUAUAAGACUGGGAUAACUUCGGGAAACCGGAUCUAAUACCGGAUAAUCUCUUGAACCGCAUGGUUCAAUAGUGAAAUACGGUUUUGCUGUCACUUAUAGCUGGAUCCGCGCCGCAUUAGCUAGUUGGUAAGGUAACGGCUUACCAAGGCGACGAUGCGUAGACGACCUGAGAGGGUGAUCGGCAACACUGGAGCGGAGACAGGGUCAAGACGACUAAGGGAGGAAGCAGUAGGGAAUCGUCGGCAAUGGGCGAGAGUAUGACGGAGCAACGGCGAGUGAGUGAUGAAGGUCUUGGGAGCGUAAAAAUCUGUUAUGAGGGAAGAACAAAUGUGUAAGGAACUAUGCACGGAUUGACGGUACCGAAUCAGAAAGCAACGGCUAACUACGUG